AUUGAACGCUGGCGGCGUGCCUCACACAUGCAAGUCGAGCGGCAGCGCGGGGCAACCUGGCGGCGAGCGGCGGACGGGUGAGCAAUAUUUGGGAAUCUGCCUAUUAGUGGGGGAUAACCCGGGGAAACUCGGGCUAAUACCGCAUACGCACUACGGUGUAAAGCGGGGGGCGCAAGACCUCGCGCUAAUAGAUGAGCCCAAAUCGGAUUAGCUAGUUGGUGGAGUAACGGCCUAACAAGGCGACGAUCCGUAGCUGGUCUGAGAGGACGACCAGCCACACCGAAACUGAGACACGGUCCGGACUCCUACGGGAGGCAGCAGUGGGGAAUAUUGGACAAUGGGGGAAACCCUGAUCCAGCGACGCCGCGUGGGUGAAGAAGGCCUGCGGGUUGUAAAGCCCUUUCGGUUGGGAAGAACGGUAUCGACCUAAUACGUCGGUACUUUGACGUAACCAACAAAAGAGGCACCGGCUAACUCUGUGCCAGCAGCCGCGGUAACAC
rnacentral:rRNA from 1 species